ACCUCCCUUACCUGAUCCCCCUUCUCUUAUCAUCUUCGGCCAUUCACCUCCCUCUCAUGCGAUCACCGUCGACUUGCCCUCCGAUUGCACCAAUGGCACCUGAUUUCGUCGGCCGAGCUUCUCUCCCAUCUUCCUCACGUCUUCAUCACCACCGACAGCCACGGCCCGAGUGAGAGUGCCCCUAUAUAUGCGUCACCUUCUCCUAUCACAUCGCUCCGUCACCGCUACAUGAAGCAUCGCCGACGCCUCUCUUCUCAUCACCUCCGCUCGUGCCCUUUCUCUCACGCCGACAUUGUUGUUCCAGUCGCUCUUCUCUCUUGCAAUUUUCCCGGUGUUGCCACAAGUGUUCGUUUGAGGACCGAAUUUGAGCAAUGGUUGAAGGCUCAUCAGCGGCAGAACCCUAGCGAUCUAUCCACUAUUGCACCAUUUACCCUUCACCGGAUUUGAAGCGCAUCCACCAGGCUCUUCUUCGUCCAUGGGAGGUUACAAUAAAGGUAAAGGGAAGAUGGAAUAGCGGAGGCUGGAGGCAAUGCGGUGAAGAUGUGUGUGAAAAGGAACUUGGAAUAAAGAUCCUUGGGGGAAAUUAGCAAAUUAAAGAACUGAGUACUUCUUAUAGUAUUACUUUUCUGCACUUUUAGAUGUUAAGUGUCUUGAUUCAUGAGAGUAUACACUAUGUUA